rnacentral:rRNA from 1 species
UACGUAGGGUCCGAGCGUUGUCCGGAAUUAUUGGGCGUAAAGGGCUCGUAGGCGGUCUGUUGCGUCGGGAGUGAAAACUUACAGCUUAACUGUGAGCGUGCUUCCGAUACGGGCAGACUUGAGGUAUUCAGGGGAGAACGGAAUUCCUGGUGUAGCGGUGAAAUGCGCAGAUAUCAGGAGGAACACCGGUGGCGAAGGCGGUUCUCUGGGAAUAUCCUGACGCUGAGGAGCGAAAGUGUGGGGGAGCGAAACAGG